rnacentral:lncRNA from 1 species
UUAUUAUUAUUAUAUAGUGCACAUAUCCCCCCUCCUCUCUUUCUCUCUCAUUCCCUCUCCAUUUCUCUGUUUCAAAUGCUCUUCUCAGCUCUUCUUCACCCACUUCUCUGUCUCCAAGUUUCUCAAAGUAGCUCAAGGUUUGAAGCUUUCAAGAAUUCAGACUGCAACAAGACAGAGGAAAAUACUGUUCUACCUCCAACAUUUCAUUUUCCACCAAGUUAUACAGUACCGUGCAAGCAAGCAAGGUAGUAUACUAAUCUCCACCUUUCCAAUUCCCUCUUCUGCUCAUUUCCAUUCCUUCAAAACCUCAACUUUCACAAGCCCUUCUGAGAUCUGGGUUCUGGGUUUUGGUCCUCAAUAGCUAAUUCCAUUUGGGUUCUUGUUCGUAUAGUUACUAUCCAGAAAUCGUACAACAGAUGCAACUGUAGAGACUGACAUCACUUUGGCAAAUUUUAACAUAAAUAUUGGUUUUGUUCAAACAUUGUUGUCAUUUGUUGCUAAUCCUUGUUUCUUCUCCACUUUGAAUUUUGUCAGAACAGUACUAAUUAUUGAGAGCCGUUUGAUCAUCAUCAUCAUCACCAUCAAAGGCAUCAUACACCAUCAUUGAUCAUCUCUUUGUGUUGUCUUCUUGGUUUAAGAGCUGCCCAACUUUCCUCCUUGAGGUACCACUCACUUCUCCUUUUCUUUCUUUUUUUCCUUUCAAGAAAGAGGAAAUUAAAGGGGUCCAAUUUCUUCUGAACAAAGAACCUGACUUUUCCUCAGACAUUCUGUCUCUUGCUGUUCUGUAAUCUUUUUCUUCACCUCUUAGAUUUUCAAACCUACACUUAUCACCGUACACGUGUCCAAACGAACAGUCUUACAAUCGAUCCCGACCAUCCCGGAUUCCUAUGUUGUUGCUUAUAUCAUAUGCAUGCAAAAUCUGAAAUCUCUGUCCUUCUUCUGGGAGAAGGGUAGUGUUGUCACUUUUUCCAUCAUCAAAUUUAUGUUAUCGAAAAUUUUGGAGAUUUUGGAGGAGUAUUCUGACACAUUUGCUCAUCCUCUAACAGAGUUAUAUUAACAUAUUUCAAAUGGAGUUUUCUUAGACAAUAUAUAUAUAUGAACUUAGAAUGUGACUUUGUUGCUAGUAAUGAUCCAAAAUCAAUUGUUUAUGAUAUUAGAUUUGGAGAACUGACAAAGUUUUGAACUUUGAUGAAAACCCAAUUGGACCCAGGUUUUGGAUUGCCCUAAAAUAGUGAAGUGUGUUUGGUUUGGCACAAUAAAAGUGUAGAUCAUAGAUAGAAAGAAUAAAGCUUUUGUUAAUAGUAGCAGAUCUACCAAUUGUACUGUGAUUUAAAGUUUAGUUGGAUAUCUGCUGUGCAAAGAGCAACUACUGGACCUUAAGACUUGAUAUAUAACUGAAUGUUAGGGGGGAGGCACUACAAGAAUUCAGAAACUUAACUGCACAAAUCUUACAACAAAGUUACAAUAGCACUUUCUCAAUUCUCAUACAUGUAACCGCAGAUUCAACGAUAAGGCAUCCGUUGUUAGCCGACAGCGGAUAGGUAAAACCGCUGUUAACCAUUCUAGCAUUGUGUGACCUAACAUCGGAAUCUGAUCCAUCGGUUUAUCCGCUGUUAAAUUUAUAAAAAAAAACCGCCGUUAGCUGUGUGAAUUCUUGUAUCGAGAAAUUUUACGGCUUAGUUCGACUCAAUUAGUGGCAUAGCUCUACUGUUUCUUUGUAUACCAGAGAUUAGUGUUUUACUUGGACGAAGAUAAUAUAAUGAACUAUUCAUGAAAUUUAUUAAGUGAUUGGGAUAGCUAGUGACACAAUAAUGCAUCGUGGGAGAUCAAACGAGUAAAAAAAGUGAUGAGAUGGGACAAAUGGCCAAGUAUGGAAACCUGUCUCAAACUGUCCUUUCAUUUCCUUCAAUCUUUUCCACUCUCUCAACCUGUCUAGUUCCAGUAUUCAUUCAUUGCUCUGCUUUGCUUCACAACCUUCCCUUCACUUCCAUUCUGGCUACACGACAAUAUAGAAAACAAACAACCCUCUACAGAGAAGUAAUAGUUAGGUAAACUAAAUGAACUACUAAAACAUUAGUCAUUCACUUACCAUUUUUCCAUCUUCUCAAAUUUCUCUCAUAUCUUUGCAGAUUGGUGUAAUCAUGGGAGAUUGGAUGGUGUUGAUGAGCUUGUCGAAGAACAUGGCUAUGGAGUUUGAUUUCAGAAGAAGAAGAAGAAGAAGAACAACUUAUGGUUGAUUAUGGCUUUUGAAGGGCGAGGGGUCGACAAGGGUAAUGGUGGAGAGUGAUAUUGGCUGGACGGCUCAAUCUCUUUUUUGUUUUUUUUUUACUUUUACCUUGAUGUUACGUUGUUGUUUCAUUCUUAAUUAUCACAUAGUAGCAAAAUUACUUCAGUAAAGUUUUCCCAUAUAUGCUACAUCUGCAAGUGUCCAUUUUACACCUCGCCUGUUGUUCUUCACCGAAUGGCUAGUUAUUCGAGCUCCGAAACACGCCCCGUAACAUUUUCGCUUACCAAUAUUUAGUGCACAAAGAAGUUGGAAUACAAAUGAAAGCUGCAAUGGGUGGAUUUCC